AAAUAAGCUUCAUUUUAUUAUCUUAGUGGCGGACGGGUGAGUAACGUGUGGGCACCUGCCCUAUACUGGGGAAUAAUCACUGGAAACGGUGACUAAUACCGCAUGUCAGGGCAUCCAAAAAGUAAUUCGGUAUAGGAUGGGCCCGCAUCUGAUUACUAGUUGGUGAGAUAACAGCCCACCAAGGCGACGAUCAGUAGCCGACCUGAGAGGGUGAUCGGCCACAUUGGGACUGAGACACGGCCCAAACUCCUACGGGAGGCAGCAGUGGGGAAUAUUGCACAAUGGGGGAAACCCUGAUGCAGCAACGCCGCGUGAAGGAAGACGGUUUUCGGAUUGUAAACUUCUGUUCUUAGUGAAGAAUAAUGACGUAGCUAAGAGCAAGCCACGGCUAACUACGUGCCAGCAGCCGCGGUAAUACGUAGGUGGCAAGCGUUGUCCGGAAUUACUGGGUGUAAAGGGAGCGUAGGCGGGAUGCCAAGUCAGCUGUGAAAACUAUGGGCUUAACUUGUAGACGCAGUUGAAACUGGUAUUCUUGAGUGAAGUAGAGGUUGGCGGAAUUCCGAGUGUAGCGGUGAAAUGCGUAGAUAUUCGGAGGAACACCGGUGGCGAAGGCGGCCAACUGGGCUUUAACUGACGCUGAGGCUCGAAAGUGUGGGGAGCAAACAGGAUUAGAUACCCUGGUAGUCCACACUGUAAACGAUGAUAACUAG
rnacentral:rRNA from 1 species